rnacentral:rRNA from 1 species
GACGAACCGUGCGAACGUUGUUCGGAAUCACUGGGCUUAAAGGGCGCGUAGGCGGGCCAUCAAGUCCGUGGUGAAAUACUUCGGCUUAACCGGAGAAGUGCUGCGGAUACUGGUGGUCUUGAGUGGGGUAGGGGCAUGUGGAACUUCCGGUGGAGCGGUGAAAUGCGUAGAUAUCGGAAGGAACGCCGGUGGCGAAAGCGACGUGCUGGACCCCUUCUGACGCUGAGGCGCGAAAGCCAGGGGAGCAAACGGG